rnacentral:rRNA from 1 species
CGCGUAGGCGGUCUUUAAGUCAGAUGUGAAAGCCCGGGCUUAACCCCGGAAGUGCAUUUGAAACUAAGGGACUUGAGUAUGGGAGAGGGAAGUGGAAUUCCUGGUGUAGAGGUGAAAUUCGUAGAUAUCAGGAGGAACACCGGUGGCGAAGGCGACUUCCUGGACCAAUACUGACGCUGAGGCGCGAAGGCGUGGGGAGCAAACA